rnacentral:ribozyme from 1 species
UGCCCAGCAACUCCUAUCCCUACCUCCUCGCGGUACUGGCCGGGGUACGAGUAACCUUAGGGAAGAUCGGGUAACCAACCCUGGUGGGAGCUUUGGUCGUAUGCUGACAGGGAAGA